UUUGCAAGACAAAGUUGUGUUUGUGUUUCUCAGCACCUGCUGCUUCAUGUAAAACAGUGUGUGGGACGUUGGUAAAUGAACCCCUGAGCGUUAACAGGUCCUGCAGAACCUGGAACUUCAUACACUAGUUUUGUCCUGUCAUGGAGGACACCUGGAAAAUGAUCAAAUCAGUCAAAGGUCCUGGAAAUAUUACUGAGGUCAUGGAAACCUGUUAGAGUUGGUCUAGUCUGGGAGAGGUCCUGGGAAAUGAUCUAAAAACAGCAGGAACCCUGAUGAACAUCUGGAGAUGAAAACAAACCGAACCAAAAGAAUGGAGAAAAGUCAGGAUGCAGACCUCCAGUCAGGGCCAUGGCCUUUCACACGGAGGAGCAGAGGAAGAGGAGAUUAUCUAUCAAAACCAAGUCCAAACGAACAACAGCCGAAACCACAACCCGAGGGGUCAGUACAUUGAGAGACAAUGUUCACUCUACGAUCACAUCUGAGAUGGGAAUAACAGUUCUGCUGAGUCAAUGCCAAACAAACAACCAAGGACACAGGACCCUGACAGAGAAGUUGCAUUCCAUGACUGAUAAAAACUGAAUGCCACGUAAGAGGAUGCCAUAUCAAUAAACUGUAGUCAUUUAGUACUGAAAAGAGGUGAAACGCAGAUAAAAGGAACCCCCACUGCUGUAAAAUUCAUCUUUUUUUUUCCUGAGGCUUGAAAAAGUACCUUAUUUAUCAGUUAGGAGAUCACAAUUAGUAAAAACAAACCCAGGUAAAGUCCUAUUCAAAUUGAAUGCAAACACUUGCAAGGUAAGUAACAUAUGAAGUAUGUCUCUCGAACAAAGAGGAUGAUUGUACGAUUGGUUUAUUAUGUAAUUUUAUAUUUAUAACCAUCAUGUGAUCUCAUGGGCUCUGUAAAAUAAGGACAGAGUUAUUUGACUAGUAAUGCAACGAUGUGCCACAAGAAAUUUGUGCCCAAGUACUUCCUGUUUGAACUGUCAAAAAUAUUUCGGGUGGGGGGCUGAGGAGUUAAAUCUGAACCCCCCCCCCCAGGGCUACAUCAGGCUGUGACCCCCAAACUGGGAGAGUGGCUCCAGCAGAUUCAAGGAACAACAUCUGAGGUCUCUGUCCAGAAGAGUGCAGUCCUAAGUGUAAUGAUGUUUAUGUUAACAAUACAUAUGGGUGAGCUGUUGGUGUCAGUGUAAUGUGUGCAAACCGGAACUGGGGGGAGGAAUAAAACACCUAGCUGAGCCAGCAAGAAGUUCCAAACACUGUCUCUAUGUCAGUAUAAAAAAUAAGAACAUUACAUAAGAACAGCUACGAUACCGCACAGAACCCUCAAACUCCCACAGGACCCGAGCUUGAGGAAGACACACACUACCCGAAAUACUACAGUGAGAGAGGGAAAUAUAUAAGACAAAGGAGCUGGUUGUUGACCUGAGGGGGGACAUGACACCAGUAACCCCUGUCUCCAUCCAGGGGGUCAGUGUGGACACUGUGGAAUACUAGAAGUACCUGGGGGUGUAUACAGAGAAUAAACUGGACUGGGCUAAGAACACUGAUGCCCUCUACAAGAAGGGACAGAGCCGUCUCUACUUUUUGAGGAGACAGGUCCUUCAACAUCUGCCAGACAAUGCUCAGGAUGUGGUAUGAGUCCAUGGUGGCCAGUGCUCUCCUGUUUGCUGUUGUGUGUUGGGGCAGCAGGUUGAGGGUAGCGGAUGCAAACAGCCUCAAUAAACUGAUCCGCAAGGCCGGUGAUGUUGUGGGGGUGGAACUGGAUUCUCUGGCGGCGGUUUCUGAUGGAACUGGAUUCUCUGGCGGCAGUUUCUGAGAAGAGGACGCUGUUGAAAUUAUGUGCCAUCAUGGACAAUGUCUCCCACCCACUCCAUGACGUGCUGGUUGGGCACAGGAGUACUUUUAGUAAUAGACUCAUUCUGCCCAAAAGCACCACAGAGCACCACCGGAGGUCAUUCCUGCCUGUGGCCAUCAAACUUUACAACUCCUCCCUCAGACUCAGACUGUCAGGCACUCGAAGUUAAUGGUCAUUGGAUUGGCCCUGUCGAGUUUUGUUUGUGCUGCUUGUUUGUGCUGCAGUAGUGCAGUAUAGAUAGGGUGUUAUGUACACCAUGCUUGUUGAUAUAUUUUGUUCGUAUUUCUAUUUCUUAUUUAUCUUUUAUUUCUGUUUGUUUCUGUUUCUAUUUUAUUAUCUUGUAUCUCGUUAGUUUUUAGUUAUUAGAGUGUGAGUGUCUGGGAUAAAUAAAGGAUUCUGAUUAUACAUACAUACAU